GGCCCCACUGUCCUCACAGGCUUCCCAGGCAUGAGCCAGUGACUGGUGCACUGCCUCCCUGCCCUCCCCUGCCGGGGCAGACGGUCCUCCAUAACAGCCAGGACUUCCCUGUGGUCCAAAGGUGUGUGUCCCUGCCAGACUGGGAGCUCAGUGCACUGCAGUCCUGUCCAGCUACCCUCUCCCCCACCCCCACCCCAUCAGGAUCUGGCUUUGCCCCAGCUGUGUGGAAUGAAUGCAUGAACAAAUGAGUGGGUGGGUGGCUCAACUUGUGACAGGGCAGAAAAGUCUGCUGGUUCUGCUUAGAGGUGCUUGGACCAGGCGAGGUUCACCAGGCAGGCAGACAGGCCCCCAUCUCCGUGUUGCGGGUGGGGAAGGGACUCUGUGAAGGCGGGCGAAUGCCCCAGCAGCAGGAAUAUCAAGAGCAGAGGCCCUGGAGGAGACCCCCUGGAGCUGGCGCACAGAAAAGUCCGCAGGUUUGCCUGCGAAUCUCCCCUGCCGCCUCCCAUCACUUCCCGAGGCUCUGCAGAUGGUCAGAGUGAGUGACAUUGGGUUGGCAGAGAGGGGAGGGCAGUCUGCGGCCACAGUCCUGUGCGCACAGGGACCUUUCAACAGCCCUUCUGUCUCAGGGUUGGCCUCUGCACUUGAGCUGGGUUCUGACACUUAAAACCAGAAGUGGAAUUGGAAGCAGACGCAGGCACAUGUAAACGCUGAUUCCGUUGCUUUCUGGCAGAAUCCCAUUUCCCAGGCCCACCUGUGAAACAUCCUCCCGACCCUUGACCCCACUCCAUGAGGGGACCUCAGGAAGCUGCAGGCUUGUCUGGUGAUUUUCGGGGCCCAGGGCUCAGGGCUCAGGGAGGGGCACCCUCCUCAGAAAGAAGCACCACACUCAUGAGAAAUGACUUUGAUAGGUUGUUGGAGAAGAGCAGUUAUUUUAAAAAUCACAGAGCCCAUCAUGUGCCAGCACGUUCACACAGGGCAUGUAAUCCCUGCAGCCACCACUGUGCUGGGGCCGCGUCCUCUCCUGACGACAAGAAACUGAAGCCCUGAGACGGUGUCAAAAACACUCCUGAGGUUUUUUCUGAUUACAACAGGUGUUAAUCCAAGAAUAUUUUUCCUAACAACUGUAAAUCUUAUUUUAAUAUUUACAUAUUUAUGAGCAUUUAAAAUGCAGUCUCCUAGAAUUCUGACUUCAAUUAAUUUGGCUGAUUCUAAUUAUUUUUACUAAUUUGUUUAUCACUUCACUUUUUAGCACUUUGGUUUUUUUGACAUGGAGUCUUGCUGUCCCCCGGGCUGGAGUGCAGUGGUGUGAUCUCGCCUCAAUGCAACCUCCACCUCCCAGGUUCAAGUGAUUCUCCUGCUUCAGCCUCCAGAGUAGCUGGGACUACAGGCACCUGCCACCAUACCUAGCUAAUUUUUGUAUUUUUUAGUGGCGAUGCGGUUUUACAUGUUGGCCAGGCUGGUCUCAAACUCCUGACUUCAGAUGAUCCGCCCACGUCAGCCUCCCAAAGUGCUGGGAUUACAGGCGUGAGCCACCGUGCCUGACCUCUUUUUAGUACUUUUAUCCUUUAUUUUUUUAACUACCUACAUACCCAACAUUUUAAAUUAUUAAUCUUCGCCCUCUCUUCUCCAAGAACAAUCCCUAUUGAUCUUCCACUGACGCAUCUCUGUGUAACUGCACAGCUGGUGAUCGAUCAAAAGAACUUACUGGGAAAACCACAGCCGGCCUGCCCAUAGAUGUGGCGCAAAGGAGAAAGCCGGCUUCCUGAGAGGUGAGAGGAGGCUCAUCCCUGUUGCUUGGCUCUGCACCUGCUCCUCCAGCAGCCUGAAUCCAUUUCUUACCAUCCAGUCUUCACCCUCAGCAACCCAGUUGGAGCCACUCAAGACCCAUGAGCAAACGGAUGACCAUCAUUACUCCAGGGUGGGCAGCAGCUUCGAACAAGGUGGCCUUGUGAUUCCUGGUCACAGCCACCUGCUGCCCUAAGAGGAACGACUCACCUCAAAUCUAGAUUCCACCAUGCAUGGCCAUCAAACAUGAGGCCAUCUGGGGACAUGUCAUGGGGACUGGGUGGAUAUAAGUCACAUUUCUAGCUACCUUUGGAUAACCUUUCUGUGUUUGAUGAAAGGUGGUACCCAGCUUCUGGACUUGGAGUUUGGAAUUCGGUUUCUAGCCUCCCUGAAACAUGCUUAGGACACAGGCUUGGAAGACGGAGCAGCAAGGAAGCAGCGUCUCAGCGUCACAUGCUGCAGAGAGGGGCAGCAUUUGGUGUCUUUGGAGGCCGACUUCUCAGCAGAGGAUCACUGUGCCUGAGGCCACAGUGCCCAGAGGUGCUGGGUGGGGCGGGGAAUAUGGUAACCGGGAAACAGCCCUGAGCAGAGUUCCUACCCCUCCUAGCCGGGUAGCGAGGAUUCAGGAGUUUGCAGAACUCUGCCUGACUCUGUGCUCAGGCGUGGUCUGGGCAGUGUCUUCACAUCAUCGGCAAAGGCACCUGGGCUUUCUCCUGUUGGUCCUGGGUGACUCCCUCCAUCAUCCCUCCACGCAUGGGUCCUUCUUGUCAUCUGCCUGCGCCGUCUACAUCAGGCUGGGGCCACGCAGGCCUGACUGAGCAUGGUGAGAUCUAGAAGUUAUGCCUCAUUCAGUGAAUGUUCUUUAGAUGCUUGUUCAAUAUUUAUUUGGUAAGAAGUGGGUAAAAGUUUCCCCCGAUAAAGACCUUACACGUUCUCAGUAACCUUAUGUACCGGCUGUCCUUUUGCUCACACCUUUGAGCUUUUCUCGCUGUGCUAGUCAGCGUUCUCUAGAGGGACAGGAUGAGUAGGAUAGACGCAUCUGUGAAGGGGGUUUCUGAGGAGAACUGACUCACACGAUCACAAGGUGAGGUCCCAGGAUACGCAGUCUGCGAGCUGAGGCGCCAGGAAGCCGCCCGAGACCCAAAACCUCAACAGCAGGGACGCCGACAGCGCAGCUGUGUCUGUGGCCGAAGCUGACAAACCACCGGUGUGAGUCCAAGAGCCCCACAGCUGAGGAACUUGGAGUCCGAGGUCGGAGAGCAGGAAGCAUCCCGCACGGGAGAAAGACAGAGGCUGGGAGACUCAGCCAGUCCGGUCCUUCCACGUUCCUCUGCCUGCUCUACCCUGGCCGCGCUGGCAGCUGAUGAGACGGUGCCCACCCAGAUGGAGGGUGGGUCUGCCUCUCCCAGUCCACUGACUGAGAUGGCACUCUCCUGUGGCAGCGCCCUCACAGACACACCCAGGAUCAGUGCUUUGCACCCUUCACUCCAGUCAAGUUUGGGUUGGAUGACACUCCGUAUUAACCAUCACGCUCCCCGACUCAAAAAAGCAAAGAAAGAAACAAAAUCCCCAAAACACAACUGUUUCUCAAGAGUGUUUGUGAGCUGUGCAGAACUUGCCUAUGGCUGCAGGGGUACGGUGGUUUCUAGGCACACAGCACCUCCGGAGAAAAUUUCCAUCAUCUUUUCUCCUGCCACGCCUCCCUCCCAGCCUCACGAAGGUGGGGCUCCCGCUCCCGACCGGACCCCACUGUUCAGUCUUCCAAGCACCUCCUUUCUGGACCUCCCUCAGGUUCCCCAUAAUCCAGGUGAACAUAAUCAGCUCUGUCCCCACGUAAUCCAGGGCAGCUCAGCUCUGUCCCCCAGCUCCUGUCUUCAAGCUUGAGCAGCUCCUUCCAGCAUCUCUAGGCCAUCGGACACCACCUUAGAAACUUUUGACUCACCUGUUGAGGCCAGGCCCACCAGAAGAGCCCAGGAGCCGGUGUGUGCUGGAGCUGGCUGGCACUGGCUCCCGGAGUGGAUUGCUGCACUGCCAGGACUCACCUGUUGAGGCCAGGCCCACCAGAGGAGCCCAGGAGCCGGUGUGUGCUGGAGUCGGCUGGCACUGGCUCCCGGAGUGGAUUGCUGCACUGCCAGGACUCACCUGUUGAGGCCAGGCCCACCAGAGGAGCCCAGGAGCCGGUGUGUGCUGGAGUCGGCUGGCACUGGCUCCCGGAGUGGAUUGCUGCACUGCCAGGAGCUUUGCAGGCCAGUUAUUAGAUGCAGACCUUGCUGAAAAUUAAAGCUUACUUAAAACAUGGGAAAUAAAUACUUGAAGCCGUCA